UGUUCCGCCUUCUUCCCGGGCCUUUGUGCGGCGGCUCCAGGCCUGAAAGGCCCGUGUCCAACACAUGUCUCGGGCGGCGGCCCAGAGAGGCCCCGCCAGCUUCGGCCGCCGCUUCCCGGCGCUGAUAACGCGGGCGGGGGGCGCCGCUGGGCUGCGCGGCCCACAAAGGCCUCGAAUGCCAAGCAAGGGCGCAUUGUGCGACGAGGACAAAGAAGCGCGGCAGGGCGGGGCUCAGCCUGAGCCGCCAGGCCCCUCCCACAGGGCGGAGAGGGGCCCUUUCCCCAUCUCCGAGAAGGGAAACUGAGGCCCAGGAAGUUUCCUCCUCUUAAGAAUGGAGAUACUAUCAAUACCUGCCUUACUGCUGACCCCGCGGCGGCGAGGAUUAGACAAGCGACCAGCAGCACAACACUCGCGAGAGCACUGGGCACCUGCCGCGUGCCCGAUUUGUUAAGCACCUGCGACAUCUCAGAUGCAGUUCUAGGCACCGGGCUUAUGGCAACAAGCAAAACAGACCCAAAUCCCAGCUCUCAGUGCCUUCCUCUUAAGCAGGAAGAGAAAGACACAAACAAUCACAUCAGUAAAACAGGCAGUAUAUCAAAUGGUGAUAGGUGCUUUGGAGAAAAAUAAAGCAGGGGAAGG